GAUGAACGCUGGCGGCGUGCCUAAUACAUGCAAGUCGAGCGAACGGACGAGAAGCUUGCUUCUCUGAUGUUAGCGGCGGACGGGUGAGUAACACGUGGAUAACCUACCUAUAAGACUGGGAUAACUUCGGGAAACCGUAGCUAAUACCGGAUAAUAUUUUGAACCGCAUGGUUCAAAAGUGAAAGACGGUCUUGCUGUCACUUAUAGAUGGGUCCGCGCUGCAUUAGCUAGUUGGUAAGGUAACGGCUUACCAAGGCAACGAUGCAUAGCCGACCUGAGAGGGUGAUCGGCCACACUGGAACUGAGACACGGUCCAGACUCCUACGGGAGGCAGCAGUAGGGAAUCUUCCGCAAUGGGCGAAAGCCUGACGGAGCAACGCCGCGUGAGUGAUGAAGGUCUUCGGAUCGUAAAACUCUGUUAUUAGGGAAGAACAUAUGUGUAAGUAACUGUGCACAUCUUGACUGUACCUAAUCAGAAAGCCACGGCUAACUACGU
rnacentral:rRNA from 1 species